GUCUUUAUUUUAUUAUUUCUUGUUUUUACUUCCACCAUCACCGCCGGCAGGGUUACCUCCAGCUGCCGCCUGCGCUGCCUUCUUUGCGGCCUUUUCUUGUAAGGCCUUUGCAUCUCUUUCACGGCGUUGUUCAGGGGUCAAUCCAUCGUCCUUAGAACCAGCUUUCCCUUUUGUUGCCUGACCUGGAUUGAGCCCUUUCUCUAUAUUUUUUUUU
rnacentral:lncRNA from 1 species